rnacentral:rRNA from 1 species
GAGGUUAAGCGACUAAGCGUACACGGUGGAUGCCCUGGCAGUCAGAGGCGAUGAAGGACGUGCUAAUCUGCGAAAAGCGCCGGUAAGGUGAUAUGAACCGUUAUAACCGGCGAUGUCCGAAUGGGGAAACCCAGUGUGACUCGUCACACUAUCAUUAACUGAAUCCAUAGGUUAAUGAGGCGAACCGGGGGAACUGAAACAUCUAAGUACCCCGAGGAAAAGAAAUCAACCGAGAUUCCCCCAGUAGCGGCGAGCGAACGGGGAGCAGCCCAGAGCCUGAAUCAGCUUGUGUGUUAGUGGAAGCGUCUGGAAAGUCGCGCGAUACAGGGUGACAGCCCCGUACACAAAAGCACACAGGCUGUGAGCUCGAUGAGUAGGGCGGGACACGUGGUAUCCUGUCUGAAUAUGGGGGGACCAUCCUCCAAGGCUAAAUACUCCUGACUGACCGAUAGUGAACCAGUACCGUGAGGGAAAGGCGAAAAGAACCCCGGCGAGGGGAGUGAAAAAGAACCUGAAACCGUGUACGUACAAGCAGUGGGAGCAUCCUUCGGGGUGUGACUGCGUACCUUUUGUAUAAUGGGUCAGCGACUUAUAUUCUGUAGCAAGGUUAACCGCAUAGGGGAGCCGAAGGGAAACCGAGUCUUAACUGGGCGUUAAGUUGCAGGGUAUAGACCCGAAACCCGGUGAUCUAGCCAUGGGCAGGUUGAAGGUUGGGUAACACUAACUGGAGGACCGAACCGACUAAUGUUGAAAAAUUAGCGGAUGACUUGUGGCUGGGGGUGAAAGGCCAAUCAAACCGGGAGAUAGCUGGUUCUCCCCGAAAGCUAUUUAGGUAGCGCCUCGUGAAUUCAUCUCCGGGGGUAGAGCACUGUUUCGGCUAGGGGGCCAUCCCGGCUUACCAACCCGAUGCAAACUACGAAUACCGGAGAAUGUUAUCACGGGAGACACACGGCGGGUGCUAACGUCCGUCGUGAAGAGGGAAACAACCCAGACCGCCAGCUAAGGUCCCAAAGUCAUGGUUAAGUGGGAAACGAUGUGGGAAGGCCCAGACAGCCAGGAUGUUGGCUUAGAAGCAGCCAUCAUUUAAAGAAAGCGUAAUAGCUCACUGGUCGAGUCGGCCUGCGCGGAAGAUGUAACGGGGCUAAACCAUGCACCGAAGCUGCGGCAGCGACACUAUGUGUUGUUGGGUAGGGGAGCGUUCUGUAAGCCUGCGAAGGUGGCCUGUGAGGGUUGCUGGAGGUAUCAGAAGUGCGAAUGCUGACAUAAGUAACGAUAAAGCGGGUGAAAAGCCCGCUCGCCGGAAGACCAAGGGUUCCUGUCCAACGUUAAUCGGGGCAGGGUGAGUCGACCCCUAAGGCGAGGCCGAAAGGCGUAGUCGAUGGGAAACAGGUUAAUAUUCCUGUACUUGGUGUUACUGCGAAGGGGGGACGGAGAAGGCUAUGUUAGCCGGGCGACGGUUGUCCCGGUUUAAGCGUGAAGGUGUGUGUUCCAGGCAAAUCCGGAGCACUUUAACACUGAGGCGUGAUGACGAGGCACUACGGUGCUGAAGUAACAAAUGCCCUGCUUCCAGGAAAAGCCUCUAAGCUCCAGGUAACACGAAAUCGUACCCCAAACCGACACAGGUGGUCAGGUAGAGAAUACCAAGGCGCUUGAGAGAACUCGGGUGAAGGAACUAGGCAAAAUGGUGCCGUAACUUCGGGAGAAGGCACGCUGAUACGUAGGUGAAGUCCCUCGCGGAUGGAGCUGAAAUCAGUCGAAGAUACCAGCUGGCUGCAACUGUUUAUUAAAAACACAGCACUGUGCAAACACGAAAGUGGACGUAUACGGUGUGACGCCUGCCCGGUGCCGGAAGGUUAAUUGAUGGGGUCAUCCGUAAGGAGAAGCUCUUGAUCGAAGCCCCGGUAAACGGCGGCCGUAACUAUAACGGUCCUAAGGUAGCGAAAUUCCUUGUCGGGUAAGUUCCGACCUGCACGAAUGGCGUAAUGAUGGCCAGGCUGUCUCCACCCGAGACUCAGUGAAAUUGAACUCGCUGUGAAGAUGCAGUGUACCCGCGGCAAGACGGAAAGACCCCGUGAACCUUUACUAUAGCUUGACACUGAACACUGGUCCUUGAUGUGUAGGAUAGGUGGGAGGCUUUGAAGCGUGGACGCCAGUCUGCGUGGAGCCGCCCUUGAAAUACCACCCUUUAAUGGCUGGUGUUCUAACGUGGACCCGUGAUCCGGGUUGCGGACAGUGUCUGGUGGGUAGUUUGACUGGGGCGGUCUCCUCCUAAAGCGUAACGGAGGAGCACGAAGGUCAGCUAAUCCUGGUCGGACAUCAGGAGGUUAGUGCAAUGGCAUAAGCUGGCUUGACUGCGAGCGUGACGGCGCGAGCAGGUGCGAAAGCAGGUCAUAGUGAUCCGGUGGUUCUGAAUGGAAGGGCCAUCGCUCAACGGAUAAAAGGUACUCCGGGGAUAACAGGCUGAUACCGCCCAAGAGUUCAUAUCGACGGCGGUGUUUGGCACCUCGAUGUCGGCUCAUCACAUCCUGGGGCUGAAGUAGGUCCCAAGGGUAUGGCUGUUCGCCAUUUAAAGUGGUACGCGAGCUGGGUUUAGAACGUCGUGAGACAGUUCGGUCCCUAUCUGCCGUGGGCGCUGGAGAAUUGAGGGGGGCUGCUCCUAGUACGAGAGGACCGGAGUGGACGCAUCACUGGUGUUCGGGUUGUCAUGCCAAUGGCACUGCCCGGUAGCUAAAUGCGGAAGAGAUAAGUGCUGAAAGCAUCUAAGCACGAAACUUGCCCCGAGAUGAGUUCUCCCUGAGACCCUGAGUCUCCUGAAGGAACGUUGAAGACGACGACGUUGAUAGGCCGGGUGUGUAAGCGCAGCGAUGCGUUGAGCUAACCGGUACUAAUGAACCGUGAGGCUUAACCUUA